UGUCCCAUGGCUUAAUUGGCUAUAGGUCUGACUGCUAUCUUUUAGAAGACUGUGAUCGGAAGGUCGAGAGUUCAAGAGUUCGAGCCUCUCUGGGGCAG